CAGUAGCCGCGGGAAUACGAAGGGGGCUAGCGUUGUUCGGAUUUACUGGGCGUAAAGCGCACGUAGGCGGACUUUUAAGUCAGGGGUGAAAUCCCGGGGCUCAACCCCGGAACUGCCUUUGAUACUGGAAGUCUUGAGUAUGGUAGAGGUGAGUGGAAUUCCGAGUGUAGAGGUGAAAUUCGUAGAUAUUCGGAGGAACACCAGUGGCGAAGGCGGCUCACUGGACCAUUACUGACGCUGAGGUGCGAAAGCGUGGGGAGCAAACAGGAUUAGAGACCCCAGUAGUCCCUGUCUCUUAUAC
rnacentral:rRNA from 1 species